rnacentral:rRNA from 1 species
ACGGACGAGAAGCUUGCUUCUCUGAUGUUAGCGGCGGACGGGUGAGUAACACGUGGAUAACCUACCUAUAAGACUGGGAUAACUUCGGGAAACCGGAGCUAAUACCGGAUAAUAUUUUGAACCGCAUGGUUCAAAAGUGAAAGACGGUCUUGCUGUCACUUAUAGAUGGAUCCGCGCUGCAUUAGCUAGUUGGUAAGGUAACGGCUUACCAAGGCAACGAUGCAUAGCCGACCUGAGAGGGUGAUCGGCCACACUGGAACUGAGACACGGUCCAGACUCCUAUGGGAGGCAGCAGUAGGGAAUCUUCCGCAAUGGGCGAAAGCCUGACGGAGCAACGCCGCGUGAGUGAUGAAGGUCUUCGGAUCGUAAAACUCUGUUAUUAGGGAAGAACAUAUGUGUAAGUAACUGUGCACAUCUUGACGGUACCUAAUCAGAAAGCCACGGCUAACUACGUGCCAGCAGCCGCGGUAAUACGUAGGUGGCAAGCGUUAUCCGGAAUUAUUGGGCGUAAAGCGCGCGUAGGCGGUUUUUUAAGUCUGAUGUGAAAGCCCACGGCUCAACCGUGGAGGGUCAUUGGAAACUGGAAAACUUGAGUGCAGAAGAGGAAAGUGGAAUUCCAUGUGUAGCGGUGAAAUGCGCAGAGAUAUGGAGGAACACCAGUGGCGAAGGCGACUUUCUGGUCUGUAACUGACGCUGAUGUGCGAAAGCGUGGGGAUCAAACAGGAUUAGAUACCCUGGUAGUCCACGCCGUAAACGAUGAGUGCUAAGUGUUAGGGGGUUUCCGCCCCUUAGUGCUGCAGCUAACGCAUUAAGCACUCCGCCUGGGGAGUAC